AUAGCCGCAAUUCGUGCUAAGGUAGCAUAAUCAUUUGUCUUUUAAAUAAAGACUAGAACAAAAGAUUUAACAUUUAAAUCUAUUUAUUUUUAUUAAAUAUUCAAAUUAUCCUUAAUGUUAAAAGACAUUAAUUUAUAAAAAAGACGACAAGACCCUAUUAAACUUAACUUCAGUUUUACUGGGGAAGUAAAUCAAGUAUUAUUUUAAUAAAAUUACUUUAAAAAAUAUCCAACAAUUUGAGUUAUUCAGUUACUAUAGGGAUAACAGCGCAAUUAUAUUUAUAAGCUCUUAUAUAAAAUAUAUAUUACGACCUCGAUGUUGAAUUAAUUACCUAAUUAAAGCAAAUUUUAAAAAAGGAAAGUCUGUUCGACCUAUAAAUAAUUACAUGAUUUGAGUUCAGACCGGUAUAAGCCAGGUCGGUUUCCAUCUUUUUAAAAAAUCUUAACAGUACGAAAGGACCUAAAGAAUUAAUUAAAUUAAUCAAAUUGGCAGAAAAAUGCAUUAGAAUUAGAAUCUAAUUAAACUAAAA
rnacentral:rRNA from 1 species